AAGGCAGCAGACAAGAAACCUGCAGGUUUUGCAAGCUGUUUUUACAGCUUGCAAAACCUGCAGGUUUCUUCUCUGCUGCCUU